rnacentral:rRNA from 1 species
CAGUAGCCGCGGGAAUACGUAGGGUGCAAGCGUUAAUCGGAAUUACUGGGCGUAAAGCGUGCGCAGGCGGUUCUAUAAGACAGAUGCGAAAUCCCCGGGCUCAACCUGGGAACUGCAUUUGUGACUGUAGAGCUGGAGUACGGCAGAGGGGGAUGGAAUUCCGCGUGUAGCAGUGAAAUGCGUAGAUAUGCGGAGGAACACCGAUGGCGAAGGCAAUCCCCUGGGCCUGUACUGACGUUCAUGCACGAAAGCGUGGGGAGCAAACAGGAUUAGAUACCCCUGUAGUCCCUGUCUCUUAUAC